rnacentral:rRNA from 1 species
AUGAUUGUAGCUAACACCCUCUUUAGAAAGAUAGAAUCACAUCUGGUGACUUUUAGUAGUGACCAACACUCUAGCCAGAUUGAUUUCAUCCUCUCGAGAAGAGAAGAUAGGCGUGCGUUCCUAGACUGUAAGGUGAUACCUGGGGAGAGUGUUGUACCCCAGCAUAAGCUGGUGGUUGCUGACUUCCGCUUUCGGAUUCGUGUCCAGCGGGAUAAGCGUGCCAAGGUCGCUAGAACGAAGUGGUGGAAGCUCAAGGGGGAGGUAGCUCUAGUGUUCAAGGAGAGGGUAUUUAAGGAGGGCCCUUGGGAGGAAGGAGGGGAUGCGGACAAUGUGUGGAUGAAGAUGGCGACUUGCAUUCGUAAGGUGGCCUCGGAGGAGUUUGGAGUGUCCAGGGGAAGGAGAAGCGAAGAUAAGGAUACCUGGUGGUGGAAUGAUGAUGUCCAGAAGGCGCUUAAAGAGAAGAAAGAUUGCUUCAGACGCCUAUACCUGGAUAGGAGUGCAGACAACAUAGAGAAGUACAAGAUGGCGAAGAAGGCCGCAAAGCGAGCUAUUGGUGAAGCAAGGGGUCGGGCAUAUGAGGACCUCUACCAACGGUUAGGCACGAGGGAAGGUGAAAGGGACAUCUAUAAGAUGGCUAAGAUCCGGGAGAGGAAGACGGGGGAUAUUGGCCAAGUCAAAUGCAUCAAGGACGGAGCAGGCCAACUCUUGGUGAAGGACGAAGAGAUUAAGCAUAGAUGGCGGGAGUACUUUGACAAGCUGUUCAAUGGGGAGAAUGAGAGUUCUAGCAUUGAACUGAAUGACUCCUUUGAUGAGACCAGCAUGCGUUUUGUGCGGCGCAUCCAGGAGUCUGAGGUGAAGGAGGCUUUAAAAAGGAUGAAAGGAGGCAAGGCGAUGGGCCCUGAUUGUAUCCCCAUUGAGGUGUGGAAAGGUCUCGGGGACAUAGUGAUAGUAUGGCUA